UGGGUNGUCCAGUCUGCCGCAGAAACUGUCUGCUAGCCUCCACUUUGCCCCCUUCUCCUGCAGCGUUGGACCAAAAAUACUCCUCCCGUUCCAUCUCUCGUAAUGGCCCCUGUGCGCCCCACCCAGGUCGAGAGGUAAACCGUUUAAUUCUCCAAAGCUCUGCUGGUGCCGCCCAGCCCUGUUCCAUUGCCUUUGCAGAACGAGAGGCCUGGUGUCCGUCAAUCUCCCACUUCCCAUCCUGGGCUCUCCCUCACCUUGGCCGCCACUGUGUCCUUGCUCCACGGUGGAAGUCAGAGCCCCUGCUCGGACUGAGCAGCCAGGCCAUCUCAAACUCUGAGCUGUGCUCUGCGCCCUGCUGGUGCCUUGUGAAGGUGUGUUCCUUACAGAGCCUGGAAGGUCAUGGCAGUCGAAGGGUGUUUGUGGAAGGUGCUUUGGAACCUCAUGAGCUGCAAGGAAAAGGACUUGGCGUUUUGUGUGUGGUAUUUCCUCCUUGCCCUGGUACCUAAGUUGCUGGCCUGGGAAGUGGGCCUUGAGGCACUGUCGACCUUCCAUGGAUGAGCUGUGCAUCAUCUGUGCCUGAGAUCUGGGGAGUCCAGAGCCUUGUUCUGCUUGGAAGAUUUGGAGGACGCAGUGUUUCAGAGUGCUCCACUGUUCCUCAGAUGAACUGCCGCUAGCCGUCUCCUUCACGCCAAGGCCUGGAAAUCACGCCGCCAGCGAGGGAAACCAGCCGGGCCUGCGUGCAGUGUCUCAGAGUGACAACUCAGUGGGCAGCUGAGCCAUCGCCGUCUCCCUGCCAAGGUGGAGCACCAGGUGCUAUCUACUUUUAUCUCCAGGACUAAGGACCUUCAUUUCUAUUACACAGUGAAACGUGACCUGUGGCAGGCAGGGUGGGGGUUGGGGGGUGAAAACCAGCUGGCAUUGUUUUUCAUUUACAGUUUUUGGAUGGCCAGCUGGGUUGUUUCUGCUUUGUUGAUGGAAUGCCUCUGUGUCUCUGCCCCCUCGUCCCCUUUGGCCAUCUCUUUCUGAAAAUAAAGUGAUGGAUCUUCAGCCAGC